rnacentral:rRNA from 1 species
GAUGAACGCUAGCGGCAGGCUUAAUACAUGCAAGUCGAGGGGCAGCAGGGGUAGCAAUACCCGCUGGCGACCGGCAAACGGGUGCGGAACACGUACAGAACUUUCCUUUAAGCGGGGGAUAGCCCAUAGAAAUGUGGAUUAAUACCCCAUAGUAAUGCUGGUUGGCAUCAAACUGGUAUUUAAAGAUUUAUCACUUAGAGAUGGCUGUGCGUCUGAUUAGGUAGNGGUAGGGGUAACGGCCCACCAAGCCAUCGAUCCAGUAACUGGUNUGAGAGCACGACCAGUCACACGGGCACUGAGACACGGGCCCGACUCCUACGGGAGCAGCAGUAAGAAUAUUGGUCAAUGGACGCAAGUCUAGAACCAGCCAU